rnacentral:rRNA from 1 species
GAACUGAAGAGUUUGAUCCUGGCUCAGAUUGAACGCUGGCGGCAUGCCUUACACAUGCAAGUCGAACGGUAACGCGGGGCAACCUGGCGACGAGUGGCGAACGGGUGAGUAAUACAUCGGAACGU